UUGGAGGGCAAGUCUGGUGCCAGCAGCCGCGGUAAUUCCAGCUCCAAUAGCGUAUAUUAAAGUUGUUGCAGUUAAAAAGCUCGUAGUUGAAUUUCGGGAUCAAUAUUUCGGUCAUGCCGUUGGUAUGCACUGUUAUAAUUGAUUUCUCACCUUCUAAAGAACCGUAAUGCCAUUAAUUUGGUGUUACGGGGAAUUAGGACUGUUACCUUGAAAAAAUUAGAGUGUUUAAAGCAGGCUCACGCUUGAAUACAUUAGCAUGGAAUAAUGAAAUAGGACAUCCGAUUCUAUUUUGUUGGUUUCUAGGAUCGAUGUAAUGAUUAAUAGGGAUAGUUGGGGGCAUUAGUAUUCAAUUGUCAGAGGUGAAAUUCUUGGAUUUAUUGAAGACUAACUACUGCGAAAGCAUUUGCCAAGGAUGUUUUCAUUAAUCAAGAACGAAAGUUAGGGGAUCGAAGACGAUCAGAUACCGUCGUAGUCUUAACCAUAAACUAUGCCGACAAGGGAUCGGAUGAUGUUAAUUUUUUAAUGACUCAUUCGGCGCCUUACGGGAAACA
rnacentral:rRNA from 1 species